AAAUGAUUUUGCUACUAGAAACUAGUGCCAGGAUUACACAGGCCUCAGGCCGGACCUUUCCUGGCAGCUGUGAAGCCAACGCCCCCACCCCAUGUGUUUUAUGGGGUGAACUAACAGGAUACCGGGAUCCGAACCAAAACUACCUUCAAAUGAGUCUGCCUCUGGAUUUAGUGUGUCAAGGGGGCCCUGUCAUGGACCAGGACCCCAUUGUGCUAGGCACUGUACAAAUACAGAGCAAAAAGAUGGUCCCUGUCCCAAAAAGAAGAGACAAAUGAUGGAGACAGAAAGACCGACAGGACAGCACAAGGAAACAGUGAGCUGAUAGUAUCAUACCACAGGAUAUGAACCUACAUUGACAUUAAUGGAAAUUGAAUAGAGUGCAAAAAUAUGGAGCUUUUAAAAAAAUAUAUGGAGCUUCCAUUAGCUCUA